UCCCUGGAGGACUAGUGGUUAGGCCACAGCACGCUCACUGCUUCGGCCCGGGUUCAAUUCCUGGCCAGGGAA
rnacentral:tRNA from 1 species